CACGUAGGGGACGAGCGUUGUCCGGAUUCAUUGGGCGUAAAGCGCGCGUAGGCGGCUCGGAAAGUCGGGCGUGAAAUGCCGGGGCUCAACCCCGGGACUGCGUCCGAUACUGCCUUGCUCGAGUAUGGGAGAGGGAAGUGGAAUUUCCGGUGUAGCGGUGAAAUGCGUAGAUAUCGGAAGGAACAUCAGUGGCGAAGGCGACUUCCUGGACCAAUACUGACGCUCAGGUGCGAAAGCGUGGGGAGCAAACAGG
rnacentral:rRNA from 1 species